ensembl:misc_RNA Metazoa_SRP Metazoan signal recognition particle RNA
GCCAGGCAUGGUGGCGCAUGCCUGUAGUCCCAGCUACUUAGGAGUCUGAGGUGGGAGGAUCGCUUGAGCCUGGGAGGCCUAGGCUGCAGUGAGCCAAGAUGAUGCCACUGCACUGCAGCCUGGGCAACAGAGUGAAAUCUUAUCCCUU